UACAGAGGUCCCAAGCGUUGUUCGGAUUCACUGGGCGUAAAGGGUGCGUAGGUGGCGAGGUAAGUUUGAUGUGAAAUCUCUGAGCUCAACUCGGAAACUGCAUUGAAUACUACUUUGCUUUGAGGUUUGGAGGGGGGACUGGAAUUCUUGGUGUAGCAGUGAAAUGCGUAGAUAUCAAGAGGAACACCAGUGGCGAAGGCGAGUCCCUGGACAACACCUGACACUGAGGCACGAAAGCUAGGGGAGCAAACAGG
rnacentral:rRNA from 1 species